AUUGGACAAUGGGGGAAACCCUGAUCCAGCCAUGCCGCGUGUGUGAAGAAGGUCCUCGGAGUGUAAAGCCCUCUUAGUCGGGAGGAAGGGUUGUUGGCUAAUAUCCAGCAAUUUUGACGUCACCGACAGAAUAAGCAGCGGCUAACUCUGUUCCAGCAGCCGCGGUAAUACAGAGGGUGCAAGCGUUAAUCGGAAUUACUGGGCGUAAAGUGCGCGUAUGUAGGUCAGUAAUAAGGGUGUGAAAUCCCCGGGAUUAACCUGGGAACUGCUUUCAUAACUGCUGAGCUAGAGUACGGUAGGGGGUAGUGGAAUUUCCUGUGUAGCGGUGAAAUGCGUAGAUAUAGGAAGGAACACCAGUGGCGAAGGCGACUACCUGGACUGAUACUGACACUGAGGUGCGAAAGCGUGGUGAGCAAAC
rnacentral:rRNA from 1 species